AUUGAACGCUGGCGGCAGGCCUAACACAUGCAAGUCGAGCGGAUGAAGGGAGCUUGCUCCUGGAUUCAGCGGCGGACGGGUGAGUAAUGCCUAGGAAUCUGCCUGGUAGUGGGGGAUAACGUCCGGAAACGGGCGCUAAUACCGCAUACGUCCUGAGGGAGAAAGUGGGGGAUCUUCGGACCUCACGCUAUCAGAUGAGCCUAGGUCGGAUUAGCUAGUUGGUGGGGUAAAGGCCUACCAAGGCGACGAUCCGUAACUGGUCUGAGAGGAUGGUCAGUCACCCUGGAACUGAGACACGGUCCAGACUCCUACGGGAGGCAGCAGUGGGGAAUAUUGGACGAUGGGCGAAAGCCUGAUCCAGCCAUGCCGCGUGUGUGAAGAAGGUCUUCGGAUUGUAAAGCACUUUAAGUUGGGAGGAAGGGCAGUAAGUUAAUACCUUGCUGUUUUGACGUUACCAACAGAAUAAGCACCGGCUAACUUCGUG
rnacentral:rRNA from 1 species